rnacentral:misc_RNA from 1 species
UCUCAUCCUCCGCUAGCUGGUCUAUAAUGGAUGCCCGCCGGCGACCCACCUCCGGGAAUCCCAUCCAUUCCCGCAAAGUAAAAGCAUUGGAGGAUGAGAAUACCCAGAAGCCCUCCGAUGCACUGCCUCUCCAUAUCUACCUAACCAAUGCUCUCUGCUUCACCGUCUUCUUUUGGGUUGUUUAUUUUCUUCUUAGCCGCUGGCGUGAGAAGAUUCGCACCUCCGCCCCUCUGCAUGUUGUCACUCUCUCUGAAAUUGCUGCUAUUGUUGCUUUGUUUGCUUCCUUCAUUUACCUUCUUGGCUUCUUUGGUAUUGAUUUUGUUCAGUCCCUUAUCUUACGCCCUCCAACCGAUAUGUGGGCUGUGGAUGAUGAAGAGGAGGAGCCGGCGGAACAAAUUCUGCUCAAGGAAGAUGCCCGGAAAUCGCCAUGUGGGCAAGCUCUCGAUUGCUCUCUUACUGCACCACCACUAUCACGGCCAAUUGUUUCUUCUUCAAAAGCAGUGGGCCCAAUUGUGCUUCCUUCUCCGAAGCCGAAAGUGGUCGAGGAAAUCUCAUUUCCAGCCAUCACUACCACCGCCACUUUGGGCGAGGAAGAUGAGGAGAUCAUCAAAUCUGUUGUGGCUGGAACUACCCCUUCGUAUUCCCUCGAGUCUAAAUUGGGGGAUUGCAAGCGUGCUGCUGCAAUCAGGCGGGAGGCGUUGCAGAGGAUAACUGGCAAAUCGCUUUCUGGGUUGCCUCUGGAGGGCUUUGAUUAUGAGUCAAUAUUGGGACAGUGCUGCGAGAUGCCCGUUGGGUAUGUCCAGAUUCCCGUUGGCAUUGCUGGACCUUUGUUGCUAGACGGC